GACAAAAAUAAAAUCUUUAAAACGAUUCAUGUAAAAAUCUGGUUUUGCGUAAAUCCUCGUUUGUCUGCUUCAAUAGAGGUGAAGAGAACAGAGUUAGCACGACUCAUAGAGCCACAAUAGAAACAUUACUGGGAAUUACAACAGGUUGAAAUACACUAGAAUCAGCCUUCAGGGUCAGUGUCAACAUCACAUCUGAACAUUUUACAUCACAUUUCAGCUUUAUCUUCUGCUCUGACUCAAAACAUUUCUACCUGAAACAGUCGUCAAAGCUAAAGUCAAACAAGGAAACUAAAGUAGGUUUGUUCAGAGAAACAAGUAACCAAACUUGUAAAAAAGCAAACAGCAUUAACACCCAACUGAAAAGAGGAAAUACUUCAGUUACUGUGUGAAACUGAUGAACAGAAACUGCAAGAAACUGAAACAAGCAAAUGAUCAUGACCGCAGUCUGCUGAAUGUGGACGACUGUGGUUUCUUGUGGUUAGACUCUCGUUAACACUCUGAACACAUCCACCUGUUUUAUGGUGAUGUUCAGGCCUCAGUACAUUAAUGAACAGGAUCCUCUUUACAAAUAUCCAUUCAGAGCUGCAUUUCAGCUGCAGUGUCACCAACCAGUUCGACUCCUUUAAACCUGAACUUGUGCUGCUCUAAAGUCGAUGAAUCAUGUUUAAAACAGUUAAAGAUUUCCAGGACUGAGGAGAAAAUGCAGAAAAUGUUUAAGAAGAUAAAGUUGUGUUAAAAAAAACAAACUAUUUACACGUUAGAAGUACCAGACUUCUAAAGCUGAACCUUUAACACGUAUUGUCAUUUCCAAAGAAAAAUUCAAAAUUCAGAACUGCAUCUGUUUGUAUUUACAACCUGUACAGCUUCACAAACACUGGAACACAGAUUAUCAGGAAUCCUCAAAACAGGAGCUGUAGGUUUCAGUCCAUUAAUAUGGAGCUGAACAGUCAAUAUUCAUUUUACACACAGUUACUGUUGGUGACAAGCAAUUUGAACUCAAGUUAUAUAUAAAUAAUUUACAUGUUAAAUGUUCUUUACAUCAUAAAAAUGUCUUUUGAAGGGAGAAGAGUAUACAAAAAAAAAAAGCCACCAUGGAUGUAGAAGAUGUUCCUCCUCAUGGCAGCUGUUGGUCCAUCAUGCUGCAGGAAAG